CCUACGGGAGGCUGCAGUGGGGAAUAUUGGACAAUGGGGGGAACCCUGAUCCAGCCAUGCCGCGUGUGUGAAGAAGGCCCUCGGGUUGUAAAGCACUUUCAGUGAGGAAGAACGCCUGGUGGUUAAUACCCAUCAGGAAAGACAUCACUCACAGAAGAAGCACCGGCUAACUCCGUGCCAGCAGCCGCGGUAAUACGGAGGGUGCGAGCGUUAAUCGGAAUUACUGGGCGUAAAGCGCGCGUAGGUGGCUUGAUAAGCCGGUUGUGAAAGCCCCGGGCUCAACCUGGGAACGGCAUCCGGAACUGUCAAGCUAGAGUGCAGGAGAGGAAGGUAGAAUUCCCGGUGUAGCGGUGAAGUGCGUAGAGAUCGGGAGGAAUACCAGUGGCGAAGGCGGCCUUCUGGACUGACACUGACACUGAGGUGCGAAAGCGUGGGUAGCAAACAGGAUUAGAUACCCUUGUAGUC
rnacentral:rRNA from 1 species